rnacentral:rRNA from 1 species
AUUGCACGCUGGCGGCAUGCUUUACACAUGCAAGUCGGACUAGUGGCGAACGGGUGAGUAACGCAUCGGAACGUACCGAGUAAUGGGGGAUACCUGUCCGAAAGGACAGCUAAUACCGCAUAAUAUUCGAGCGGCCGCUGUCUGUUUAGCUGGUUGUCGGGUUAAAGGCUCACCCAGGCGACGAUCGGUAGCGGGUCUGAGAGGAUGAUCCGCCAAACUGGGACUGAGACACGGCCCAGACUCCAACGGGAGGAAGCAGUGGGGAAUUUUGGACAAUGGGCGCAAGCCUGAUCCAGCCAUGCCGCGUGUCUGAAGAAGGCCUUCGGGUUGUAAAGGACUUUUGUCAGGGAAGCGGUACCUGAAGAAUAAGCACCGGCUAACUACGUGCCAGCAGCCGCGGUAAUAC